AGAGUUUGAUCCUGGCUCAGAUUGAACGCUGGCGGCAUGCCUUACACAUGCAAGUCGAACGGCAGCACGGGUGCUUGCACCUGGUGGCGAGUGGCGAACGGGUGAGUAAUAUAUCGGAACGUACCUUAUCGUGGGGGAUAACGCAGCGAAAGCUGCGCUAAUACCGCAUACGCCCUGAGGGGGAAAGCGGGGGACCGUAAGGCCUCGCGCGAUUAGAGCGGCCGAUAUCUGAUUAGCUUGUUGGUGGGGUAAAAGCCCACCAAGGCGACGAUCAGUAGCUGGUCUGAGAGGACGAUCAGCCACACUGGGACUGAGACACGGCCCAGACUCCUACGGGAGGCAGCAGUGGGGAAUUUUGGACAAUGGGGGCAACCCUGAUCCAGCAAUGCCGCGUGAGUGAAGAAGGCCUUCGGGUUGUAAAGCUCUUUUGUCAGGGAAGAAACAGCAGCUCUAACACA
rnacentral:rRNA from 1 species